rnacentral:rRNA from 1 species
GUGUCAGCAGCCGCGGUAAUACAGAGACUGCAAGCGUUACUCGGAUUCACUGGGCGUAAAGGGAGCGCAGGCGGAAUCGUGUGUCGGAUGUGAAACCCGGGGGCUCAACUCCCGGACUGCGUCUGAAACUGCGAUUCUAGGGACUCGGAGGGGCUAGUGGAAUUCUUGGUGGAGCAGUGAAAUGCGUAGAUAUCAAGAGGAACACCAACGGCGAAGGCAGCUAGCUGGACGAGAUCCGACGCUCAGGCUCGAAAGUAUGGGGAGCAAAAAGGAUUAGAUACCCUCGUAGUCC